rnacentral:tRNA from 1 species
UAUUGAGAUAGUUUAAUAAAAAUAUUGAUUUGUGGAAUCAAAGUUCUUGUUGUUUCAAU